AACAGGGGAGCUUGCUCCCGCUGACGACCGGCGCACGGGUGCGUAACGCGUAUACAAUCUACCUUUUGCUGAGGGAUAGCCCAGAGAAAUUUGGAUUAAUACCUCAUAGUAUGCAUUGAUGGCAUCAUUAAUAUAUUAAAGGUUACGGCAAAAGAUGAGUAUGCGUUCUAUUAGCUAGAUGGUGUGGUAACGGCACACCAUGGCAACGAUAGAUAGGGGCCCUGAGAGGGGGAUCCCCCACACUGGUACUGAGACACGGACCAGACUCCUACGGGAGGCAGCAGUGAGGAAUAUUGGGCAAUGGAGGCAACUCUGACCCAGCCAUGCCGCGUGCAGGAAGACUGCCCUAUGGGUUGUAAACUGCUUUUAUACAGGAAGAAACACUCCCUCGUGAGGGAGCUUGACGGUACUGUAAGAAUAAGGAUCGGCUAACUCCGUGCCAGCAGCCGCGGUAAUACGGAGGAUCCAAGCGUUAUCCGGAAUCAUUGGGUUUAAAGGGUCCGUAGGUGGAUAAUUAAGUCAGAGGUGAAAUCCUGCAGCUCAACUGUAGAAUUGCCUUUGAUACUGGUUAUCUUGAGUUAUUAUGAAGUAGUUAGAAAAUGUAGUGUAGCGGUGAAAUGCAUAGAUAUUACAUAGAAUACCAAUUGCGAAGGCAGAUUACUAAUAAUAUACUGACACUGAUGGACGAAAGCGUGGGGAGCGAACAGGAUUAGAUACCCUGGUAGUCCACGCCGUAAACGAUGGUCACUAGCUGUUUGGACUUCGGUCUGAGUG
rnacentral:rRNA from 1 species